ensembl:lncRNA
GUGGUAUUGUAGGGCAGACGUCUCUUCGUAAUUUUUAGGAAAGGGAGGUCAGUCACUAGUCGUUAACAGGGAGGAGAGGAGCACUUCCGCAGGCCCAGAGGGCUCAGGAAAAUCUGGGUACUCGUGAUUUUUUAAUGUAUCAACUCAGAUAUCCCCACCCCAUAUCUUAGGUUUCCAUUACUUCCCAAUCAGGGUCCUGACCUUGGAGUAGUAAAUGGGCCAACGAAGUGAGAACAAAACCUCUCCUUGAGUUCUGAUACUCUCAAAUUAAGUCCUGGAUCUAAUCCCAAAUUUUUCUUGUCCUCUGGUUGUAAAAGAUGACAGUCAUUUUUAUACACUGCUGAGGAGGCCCCCGCUUGGACACAAACACUUUAAUUGGUGAUUAAUCACUCAGCUGUUUACUGUCUGCCCCUAAAUCAUUGAUUGAUCCCAGCAAUGUGCAUCCAAAUAGCUGACAUAUUGCAUCAGCCUGUGUGUUCCCUUCCACGAGUCCACAGGCCCAGAUCUCCACUGGUGAAAGUUUUAACAAUUGGACUGCUACCUAUGCGAGGAGCCUUCCAUGCUUCCCCUACCAGUGAGGGGGUCCUUACGGCAGGCAGGCCAACUCUUCAUCCUUAUACAAAAUCCCACUUCAGAGUCUCCUUCCUCAGACCACACCGGGGUCUUGGGCAGCAGAAUCUGAGACAGAGAAUCAGGUGCAGGAAGUUCAUUGGAGAGUGUGUGAGUUCAACCUCUAGAGGGAAUGAAUGAAGCAAGAUUGGGCUCCUGGAGAAGGUGACUACAACACUCUUGCAACAAAAGCCUCAGCCACUUCUAAGGCCUUUAACGUCUUAAUUGACCAAUCGUUGGACACAGGUAAGGGGCGGUGAGCCUCUGGUGAGAGGACCGUCUUCAAUGAAAGGCAAUUACUGGAGACAGGUGCAACUGAGAACUGUUGGUCAUCAACACACCCAGUAAGUGAAGAGUGAGCGCUUCUAUCCUGGAGCAGGAUCUGGGCCAGCACCCAGCACUUUCAAACAUUCAGUGAGAGUGAAGAGGGACCCCAUUCCUGACCUGUGGAGUGACGAGGAAGGCACUGGAUGUUCUCUCCAGGAGAGAGGUUCAGUGACCUUAGGGAAUGGCUGACGACCAGAGGAUACCUGGAAAGGUCGGUGCCGGGGCUGUGGUUUCGUCUAUGUGCCAUGAAGAAGGAACUAUGCUUUGUCAAACUCAUCUUGCCUCCUUGAUGGCUAACCAACAGGUUUCUACGGAGGACUCACUUCACCUGGUGUAUUGUACUCACUGCUCUGAGGGCUGCAAAUGAAACAGGAUGCAAAGUCCCUGCCCUGAGGGAACUGAAUAAGGUGGCUCCAGUUCCUUUCACCUUUGCCCAGAGGCCUUGUUUUCCAACUCUUUAAUUAUCUGUAUUGAUUUGCUUUGAACAUUGUGCAAAUUCACCGUGCCUCAUGUAAUUGGUGGAGACCAGAGAUGUGCACAGUACUCGGCUUUUAGGUGACUGCUCUGUGCUGCAUAGAGUAUGAGCCCACUGGGGUUCUGAGGACCCUACUUCUACUUUUAUAUUCAUGCAUCGUGUCUGCUUUGAAACUGUUUUAAAUCAUUACCACAUCGUAGCAGAUUCUGACUUGCCCUGAAGCUCCACUGGCAAUGGAGCAAAUCAGUACCUAAGAUAGAGUUUUUCAUCACAAAGAGCAGGAUUGUCUAUAAACUACUCUGCUUUGUAUUAAUCUCAGUGGUUUGAAAUAUAAAAAUUAUACUUGAUCUAGUAUUUACAAAUAGUUUUCACAACAAAAAAUGAACUGCGUAUCUUCCAUAACUCUAACCAUCAACUGUCUUCAAUUUGCCAUCUGCCUUUUAUUAAAUUGCAUUUGGACUACUUUCUCUAGAAAAAAAAUCUGCCUUUGCCAAUUACCUUCGUACACAUAUUAGUUUAGGAAUUCAAGCCCAUGUCAUAGUGACCUUAUUCCUUGAUUUGGAUCUUUUCACCAUUUAAACAUAAAGAAUAUUUCCUUGGAACAGGUGUUUAGAAAUAUCUGGGGAACUCCAACCAUUUACAAAGAAAUGAGUUCACUUUCUGCUUCUAUCUUAGGCCCUGAAGAUACUUAACCAUAUAGCUUUUUGUUUUUGAAAUACAGUAUCAUUUAUGGUCUAGACACCACAGACAGCUGUUCAAGUUUAAUUCAAAUGGGCCCUGUUUCUGCUGUAUUUAUUUAGCAUGUCUAGCUAAAUCUCUGAAUAAUCUUGGCUUGAGUCCUUAAACAGGGAUUAGAAAAUACCAGCUGUUGAUUUUCUUUUCUUUUAAGGUUCAGACUAAUGAGAAAUUUGCUACAAAAUUUAGAUAAUAGCUUUAAGCAAAUAAUUUUCAAUUGUUUUUUUAUUUGUUUUUUGUUAUAUGGCAUCCAGUCAGCAUUGCUAAAAAUUUAAGAAAAACUAAUAAUAAAUGAAUUAAAUGGAAGUUUACCUUGAAAUAUAAUCUCUUUUAAAAGUAAAAGUUUGAGGGGCUGGCCCCAUGACCUGGUGGUUAAAGUUCAGCACACUCCACUUUGUCGGCCUGGGUUCGGUUCCCAGGUGUGGACUU